GGCCGCGUGGCCUAAUGGCUAAGGCGCUAGAUUUCGGUUCUUGAGCUCCCGAACUCUCUAGAGAUUCCAGGUUAGUCUCACACUUCAAAUGCUCCUCCUCAUCAAGGCACUAACAUCUUAAAAGGUUCGAAUCCUGGCGUGGUCG